rnacentral:rRNA from 1 species
GGCUUGUUGUAAAUUUAUAUUAGGUCUUACCUGCUCAAUGAUAUUAAAUAUAUUAAAUAGCCGCAGUAUAUUGACUGUGCAAAGGUAGCAUAAUCAUUUGUCUUUUAAUUGGGGACUUGUAUGAAUGGUUUGAUGAGAUAUUAACUUUCUUUAUAUAAAAUUAAAAAAAUUAAUUUUUUAGUUAAAAAGCUAAAAUAGUUUUAAGGGACGAGAAGACCCUAUAGAAUUUUAUGUUUUUGGAUUUCAUUUGUAUUUGGAUAUUUUUGAAUUUAAUUUUUAAAAGCAUUUUGUUGGGGUGACAGGGAAAUUUAUUUAACUUUCUUUAUAUAUAUAUUAUAGAUUCAUAUUUAUUAUGAUCCUAUUUUAAGGAUAUCAAGAUUAAAUUACCUUAGGGAUAACAGCGUAAUUUCCUUGGAGAGUUCUUAUCGAUAAGGGAGUUUGCGACCUCGAUGUUGGAUUAAAAUUAGUAUUAGGUGUAGGGGCUUAAAUUUACUAGGUCUGUUCGACCUUUAAAAUUUUACA